rnacentral:rRNA from 1 species
CCUACGGGCGGCAGCAGUGGGGAAUAUUGGGCAAUGGGCGCAAGCCUGACCCAGCAACGCCGCGUGAAGGAAGAAGGCUUUCGGGUUGUAAACUUCUUUUAAGGGGGAAGAGCAGAAGACGGUACCCCUUGAAUAAGCCACGGCUAACUACGUGCCAGCAGCCGAGGUAAUUCGGAGGGGGCAAGCGUUGUCCGGAUUUACUGGGUGUAAAGGGCGGGCAGCCGGGGAGACAAGUCAGAUGUGAAAUCCCCGGGCUCAACCCGUGAACUGCAGUUGAAACUGUUUCCCUUGAGUGUCGGAGAGGUAAGCGGAAUUCCUGGUGUAGCGGUGAAAUGCGUAGAUAUUAGGAGGAACACCGGUGGCGAAGGCGGCCUGCUGGACUGUGACUGACGUUGAGGCCCGAAGGCGUGGGGAGCAAACAGGAUUAGAUACCCGGGUAGUC